AACGAACGCUGGCUGCAUGCCUAACACAUUCCAGUCGAACGAGACCUUCGGUUCUAGUUUCGCACGGGUGCGUAACUCCUGGGAACCUGCCCUUCGGUUCUUAAUCUCUUCCCGAAAGGGUUUCUAAUACCGUCUACUUUCUUCGGUCCAAAGAUUUAUCGCCUUUGGAUGGGCCCGCGUUUGAUUAUCUAGUUGUUACGGUAAAAGCUUACCAAGGCGACGAUUCAUAGCUGGUCUGAGAGGAUGAUUAGCCACACUUGGACUGAGACACGGCCUAGACUCCUACGGGAUGCAGCAGUGAGGAAUAUUGUACAAUGGGCUAAAUUCUAAACCAACAAUGCCUCUUGAAUGAUGAAGGCAUUAGAGUUGUAAAACUCUUUUACCCGGGAAGAUAAUGACAGUACCUGGAGAAUAAGCUCCGGCUAACUCCGUG
rnacentral:rRNA from 1 species